rnacentral:rRNA from 1 species
UACGUAGGUCCCGAGCGUUGUCCGGAUUUAUUGGGCGUAAAGCGAGCGCAGGUGGUUUAUUAAGUCUGGUGUAAAAGGCAGUGGCUCAACCAUUGUAUGCAUUGGAAACUGGUAGACUUGAGUGCAGGAGAGGAGAGUGGAAUUCCAUGUGUAGCGGUGAAAUGCGUAGAUAUAUGGAGGAACACCGGUGGCGAAAGCGGCUCUCUGGCCUGUAACUGACGCUGAGGCACGAAAGCGUGGGUAUCGAACAGG